ensembl:lincRNA
AUGACCGGCUCUGGGCUCCUGGGGAGCUUGCAUGUGGCUCAGCUGCCAGCCUGCCUGCUGUGUCCAAGGCUGUGCCUGCUGUGGACAUCUGAUGUAAACAGAGACCAUGCCCUGGUUGCCCGGGCCCAGCAUAUGGUGACUUUCGACAGCCAGGUGUGGGACCUCAGCACCCAGUGUGGCAGCAUCCUGCUGGUCCAAGACUUUGCUCACAACACAUUCUCCCUGCUGCUGAGUUGGACGGAUUCGGGGCUCACGGCCCUGAUUGUGGAGCUGAACCACGUGACCGUCAUCUUCUACCCCAGCUUGCAGGUGAGGAGGAGAGACCCGAGCUUCCCCCAGAGACCUGUGCCUGUGGCAGGUUGCCUGGGGAGAUGGCCCUUUCAAACUUGUCCCCUGGCUGUGGGUCAGCCCUCCUGCCUACCCCAUCUGGUCCGCAGGCCUACAGCCUGUACAACUCUUCCCUGCCAGGGGAGAGCUGUCCAGACCUCCAGCUGCUUCUUGCCAUGAAAAGGAGGGACGUCCCCAGGAUUGAGCUGGCCAGUGAGGAUGGGUUCUCCAUCUCCUGUGACAUGCCCACUGGCCUCUGCAGCCUGACUCUAGGCCUCUGGCACCACGGUGAGUCUGGGCCCUGGCAGGGUUGGCCCCACCACCAAGAUCGUUUUCGGGAUGCACCAUUCUCAGCUUCCAGUGUGACAGGUCCCUGGGCUGUGGUUGAGAUGAUGGCACUGAGGUCCAGGGCUUUCUGCCCCCAUCCCUGGGAUAUGUGGCUCCAAGGUGGAUUGGCCUUUCUGUGGUCCCUCUGCCAAGGAACAUAAAGGGUGGGCCUGGAUUCUGGCCACACAAGCUGGGGACGGGGUGGGGGGGACACAUGCUGUCCUUAGACCCUGUGCUUUCUCUCCCGCCUUUGAUGAGUGUAUGGAGCAGAGCCCAUACAGGUGGCAGGAUUCUACCGCUUCUAAUGUGCCUCAGGUUUGUCUCUCAUACAGGUCCCCAGGCUCUCAGGACCUUCUCAGCUUCCCUCCUCCCCACAGGCAUAUCCACUGGCCUUCUGGGCACCAAAGACUAUAAAGCAGGCAAUGAGCUGAUGUUGCCAGAUGGCUCUGUGGCCUGCAGCCUGGAGGAGCUCAGCCUGGCAGGUGAGCAGGUGCACCUGCCCUUCCUCUCUCUGGGUGAGGCUCUUGAGGGCUGCUGGCUCUGCAGAGGUCUUUACAGACCCAGGGUUGGGGGAGUCUACUGCUGAGGCCUAAGUCUUGUGUCUGUCCUACCAGGUGGAUGGUGACUAUAGGGCCACUGAGAAGACUCAGCAGACCUGCCCAGCCUUCUUCCAGGACCCGGGCUCCAGCUUGGGGAACUGCUUCUGGGUGGCAAGUAUGAGCCUGGGCCCUGGGACACAGAAAGCCCCUUCCCCAGUCUACCCUGGGGAGUGGGAUGCAGGAGGGGCCUAAGCUAGAGAGAGUGGGUGGCCCUGAUUUCAGGUGGACCCUGCACCAUUCCUCAGCCUUUGUUUGCCAGACCCCUGUGGCACUGGAGAGCUCCAGCUUGCCUGCACUCUGGCGGCUGCCUACAUUCACCUGUGUGCCCACGGCUUCAUGUCCCUGGCCCCUCCUCCACAGGGCUGUAGGCUGCCCAGCUGGCUGGCACUCUGCCCCCUGUCUGGUAUCUGCCUUCCAGCCGGAGGGAAAACCCAUCUCUCUCUCUUGCCAGGGAGGACAAAUAAUUGGCAUUCAAGGAGCUAAGAGUCAAAACAAAACAUUACAGUCCCCUCCAAAUCUCCUGUUUGUUAGAGGGAAUAUCUCCCUCAUGGAUGGCUUAGCACCCUCUGUUUGGUGAAGCAUGACUUCUUGCUCUAUUAGUUCACAUAAGAGCAGUUUAUUUAUAAAGAGCCUGGCCCCUCCUCUCUCUCUUUGCACCCCCUACUAUUUCUGCCAUGAUCGUAAGCUUCCCGAGGUAUCACCAGAAGCUUUGCUUCUACAGCCUGUGGAACGGUGAGUUAAUUAUAUCUUUUAUUUAUGAACUGUCCAGGCUGGAGUGUAGAGGCACAAUUUUGCCUCAUUUCAACUUCCACCUCCCAGGUUCAAGCAAUACUCCUACCUCAGCCUCCCAAAAAUACAGUCAGGUAUUUUUGUAGAGAUGGUGUUUUGCCAUGUUGGCCAGGCUGGUCAUGAAUUCCUGACCUCUGGUGAUCCACCUGCCUCGGCCUCCCAAAGUGCUGGGAUGACAGGCAUGAGCCACCAUGCUCAGCCUCACUAGGGAUUUGGAUGUACACUCCCAUUUAGAGAAAAUGCUCAGCCCCUGUUUUUCCUCUGCUCUCAUAGUGCAAAAAUCAUCUGCCUUCUGUGAGCAAAUGUGUGGGGGUUUGUCCCCACUACCAGUGUGGACCUCUAUUUCAGUUCUAACAGUAGCUACCUUGAGAUUCUUUAGCCCAUGCUGCAUAUGAUUGCUACAGCCAAAGCCCCACUAAAAGGGCAUACAGGUCAGUAUCAACAACAGGAGUGGACUUCCAAGAGCUACAGAUGCCAGAAUUCAUGGCUGCCAUUCAUAGACAUUUAAAACUUAAUCAGUUGGAAAAUAUGACAAAGGGAGGAUCCAACAUGUCUCAAAGAAAUUCCAGGCUAACUGUGGUGGCUCAUCCCUGUAAUCCUAGCACUUGGGAGGCCAAGAUGAGUGGAUCACCUAAGGUCAGGAGUUUGAGACCAAUCUGGCCAACGUGGUGAAAACCCAUCUCUACUAAAAAUACAAAAAUUAGCCAGGAAUGGUGAUAUGUGCCUUUAAUUCCAGCUACUUGGGAGGCUGAGGCAGGAGAAAUGCUUGAAACCAGAAGGUAGAGGUGCCUGGUGA